AUGCCAUUGAUUCUCCCAACUGAUUCACCGCCGUCAAAUCUUCCUCUUCUUCCUUCGGUUUUCAUUGAUUCACCGCCGCCGAAAUUGAAGGAACAUAUGCAGUACUGUGUUGAUCAUCCUGAGGAGGUGAGCAAGCUUGCUAAGGUGAAAGCUCAGGUUUCUGAAGUCAAAGGUGUCAUGAUGGAGAAUAUUGAAAAGUAUCUUUCAGUUCUUCUGAUACAGAGGCUUCAUACAUCCCCUUGCUCACCCACCCUAUCACCCACACCUCAUUUACUAUAA